GACCUGGUGGUGAAAUGUAUCACACCCAUUGUUGUUGAAAAAUAGCGCCAGCAUCAGUGGGAAUCCCUGGUUCGAAUCUGGGUCAGGUCA